rnacentral:rRNA from 1 species
UUUCGGAUCUCGGCAGACGUCUCAGUAACACGUGGAUAAUCUACCCUUGAGUGGGGGAUAAGCUUGGAAACCUGAGUAUAAUACCCCAUAGGCCUAGGAUGCUGGAAUGCUUCUAGGCUGAAAGCUCCGGCGCUCGAGGAUGAAUCUGCGGCCUAUCAGGCAGUAGUGGGUGUAACGGACCCACUAACCUUCGACGGGUACGGGCCUUGAGAGAGGUUGCCCGGAGUUGGACUCUGAGACACGAGUCCAGGCCCUACGGGGUGCAGCAGGCGCGAAAACUUCACAAUGUGGGAAACCACGAUGAGGGGAUUCCAAGUGCCAACACUUUGUGUUGGCUGUUCACUUGCCUAAAAAGCUGGUGAAGUAAGAGCCGGGUAAGACGGGUGCCAGCCGCCGCGGUAAUACCCGCGGCUCGAGUGGUGGCCACUAUUAUUGAGCCUAAAGCGUUCGUAGCCGGUUUCGUAAAUUUCUGGGUAAAUCGGGCAGCUUAACUGUCCGAAUUCCGGAAAGACUGCGAAACUUGGGACCGGAGGAGGUUGGAGGUACUCCUGGGGUAGGGGUGAAAUCCUGUAAUCCUGGGGGGACCACCAGUGGCGAAGGCGUCCAACCAAAACGGCUCCGACGGUAAGGGACGAAGCCCUGGGGCGCAAACGGGAUUAGAUACCCCGGUAGUCCAGGGUGUAAACGCUGCAGGCUUGGUGUUGGGGGUCCUACGAGGGCGCCCAGUGCCGGAGAGAAGUUGUUAAGCCUGCCGCUUGGGGAGUACGUCCGCAAGGAUGAAACUUAAAGGAAUUGGCGGGGGAGCAC